rnacentral:tRNA from 1 species
GCUUAAGUGGUGGUUUGGCUAGCAUACUAGACUCAAAUUCAGGAAGACGCAAGUUCAAAUUCUGCCUUAGACA